rnacentral:rRNA from 1 species
AGACCCGAAACCCGGUGAUCUAGCCAUGGGCAGGUUGAAGGUUGGGUAACACUAACUGGAGGACCGAACCGACUAAUGUUGAAAAAUUAGCGGAUGACCUGUGGCUGGGGGUGAAAGGCCAAUCAAACCGGGAGAUAGCUGGUUCUCCCCGAAAGCUAUUUAGGUAGCGCCUCGUGAAUUCAUCUCCGGGGGUAGAGCACUGUUUCGGCUAGGGGGCCAUCCCGGCUUACCAACCCGAUGCAAACUGCGAAUACCGGAGAAUGUUAUCACGGGAGACACACGGCGGGUGCUAACGUCCGUCGUGAAGAGGGAAACAACCCAGACCGCCAGCUAAGGUCCCAAAGUCAUGGUUAAGUGGGAAACGAUGUGGGAAGGCCCAGACAGCCAGGAUGUUGGCUUAGAAGCAGCCAUCAUUUAAAGAAAGCGUAAUAGCUCACUGGUCGAGUCGGCCUGCGCGGAAGAUGUAACGGGGCUAAACCAUGCACCGAAGCUGCGGCAGCGACGCUGAUGCGUUGUUGGGUAGGGGAGCGUUCUGUAAGCCUGUGAAGGUGGCCUGUGAGGGUGGCUGGAGGUAUCAGAAGUGCGAAUGCUGACAUAAGUAACGAUAAAGCGGGUGAAAAGCCCGCUCGCCGGAAGACCAAGGGUUCCUGUCCAACGUUAAUCGGGGCAGGGUGAGUCGACCCCUAAGGCGAGGCCGAAAGGCGUAGUCGAUGGGAAACGGGUUAAUAUUCCCGUACUUGGUGUUACUGCGAAGGGGGGACGGAGAAGGCUAUGUUGGCCGGGCGACGGUUGUCCCGGUUUAAGCGUGUAGGUGUGUGUUCCAGGUAAAUCCGGUU